rnacentral:rRNA from 1 species
UGCGUAGGCGGGAAAUUAAGUCAGUGGUGAAAUCCUGCAGCUUAACUGUAGAACUGCCAUUGAUACUGGUUUUCUUGAGUGUAGUUGAAGUGGGCGGAAUGUGUAUUGUAGCGGUGAAAUGCUUAGAUAUUACACAGAACACCUAUUGCGAAGGCAGCUCACUAAACUAAUACUGACGCUGAGGCACGAAAGCGUGGGGAGCAAACAGGAUUAGAUACCCUGGUAGUCC